rnacentral:lncRNA from 10 species
GGCGGAGCUUGCAGUGAGCCGAGAUCCCGCCACUGCACUCCAGCCUGGGUGACAGAGCGAGACUCCGUCUCAAAAAAAAAAAAAACCAAGAAAAUAAUUUUAAAAGUAGCAUCUAGGCUGGGCCCUGUGGCUCACGCCUGCAACCCCAGCAUUUUAGGAGGCCGAGGCGGGUGGAUCACAAGGUCAUGAGUUCGAAACCAGCCUGGCCAUCAUGGUGAAAUCCUGCCUCUACUAAAAAUACAAAAUCUGGUGGCAGAUGCCUGUAAUCCCAGCUACUUGGGAGGCUGAGGUGGGAGAAUCAUUUGAACCUAGGAGGUGGAGGCUGCAGUGAGCCAAGACCACGCCAUUGCACUCCAGCCUGUGUGACAGGGCGAGACUCCAUCUUAAAAAAAAAAAAAAAAAGAAAAGAAAUAAAAAAGUUUCAUGUAACAUAACUGGAAUACCACAGAUACUGAGCUCCAAAACAGCGUAAUCUGGGGCCCAACAGGGAGGGUCAUUAAAGACGUUGAUUUUUUCUAUAUUUUUAGUCACCAUCUCUGAGAGGUUGCUUCUUCAACUUGUGUGGCAAGAUGGCUACAGCUCUUAUGGAAUUACGUUCAGAGAGGUCAACGUCCAUAGGAAGGGGUAGAGUGGUCUUUCUUCAUCUUUCUUGGGAGUGGGGAGACUUUCAUCAGACUAAUCCCCACCCAAGUGACUUUCCUCCAUGAUCAGAAUUGUGUCACAUGAACAUUUUUCUGGAUAGGUGAAUCAUUGGCAAGGGUGAAAUGGGUGCUGGGAACUAAUCACAAUGUCCAUCACAUGCUAUAUUUUAGAGUGUUUCUUUGAAUCAGAGUAACACAGCUCUAUACUCACUGCAAGAUGAGCAGAUUAAAGGAGAGGCUGGCCAAGUUGAAGGUAGUGCAGGUUUAAUGUAGAGUAUCGAAGCAUAUGGCCAUUAAAAGUCGUGGUUAGACCCACAAUGAUGUUAUGGUGUUUUCUAAAGGUGUGGAAGAAAUUUGGAAGUCUAGCUCCUCAUGGGCAUGGGCUUCCUGAAGCAUGCCCCUUUGUUAGCAGCAGCAUAUAAGGCCAUUUUGAUAUUCUAGAGCACGAAAAACUAAAAUCCUUUACUUUCCUUUGGGUGAAGAAUCUACCUCUUUCAAACCACUGGAUUUAUAGGGGAUGAGAAGCAGCGUUAAAAGUUUAUUUUCUUUAAUUCUUAUCAGCUCUGUGUUUUUUGUAUUAAGUCCCACUAAUUUAGAGGAAAUAAAUGUCCUUAGUUCACCUGAGAAUAAGAAAACAGGUCUCUAAUCAGACCAAUACAAACAUAAGCUCCUUUUGAUGCCAACAGGCAGAGCAGUUUAAUAAUUAGUCUCCCAACUCAACCCAUUUCAAAUACACAAUGAAGCAAAAAAAGAACUGAAGCUGCUCAAAUUCUCUACUGAAGCAUGGAUUGAAUUGGGACUGGGAAUGAAGAGGUUAAAAGAACUGAGAACUACAUAAUGAAUUGCAGAGAGGAGUGUGGUGGAGAAUUAUAGUGUGCCUUGCUUCCAGAGACUAAAUCCCAGUGAAAACUUCUGAGGAGACAUGGCAAAUAGUAGAGGGAGGAAGAAGUCAUAAACAGCUUGCUGGAUGAGGUGAGUUUUCACUGCUACAACAUAAGAUUAAUUUGUAGAAGACUAGCUUUUCCAAGUGGCUACUUAAAUUUCUGCUUCGAUGUGUAAUUGUAAUUCAAAACUGAACAUGGCCAAAAUUAAAUUCUUGCCUUACUUUGCUUUCAGAAUGACUUCUCUUCUAAUCUGCAUUUGAACAAAUGAAACAGCAUAGCAUCAGCCCAAAACCCAGCAGUUGCUUUACUUUAUCUAUUUUUCUCAUGGCUGACUUCCAAUUCAUGGAAACCUCUUGUGAUCUCUAUCUUUAAAAUACGUUGUGAAUUUGACCACUACUCACCCUUUCUACUUGUUAACACAUUAAUCUACCAACUUCCCUCAUCCAGAUUAUUACAAUUCCUGAAUUAACUUCUCUAUUUCUAUUAUUUCUUCCUAAAGUCAAUUUUCCAAAUAAAAUUUAAGGUCAUCUUUUAAAAAUGUACAUACAAACAGUUCACUCUCCUGAUCAGAACCAUAAUAUGGACUAAUAAGAAGAAAAGUACUCUAAGUUCUGAGACAGUUGUAUAUCACCUACCUUCUUAACUCUAUGAAAAUCUGUCUCGUUAUUCUCUCCCCUCAUUCACUGUGGUUCAGCCCUCUUCAACAUCAGCCUUCUUGCUAUUCUUUAAAUGUAGAAGCUUAUUCUUAGCCUAGGUCUUUGCCAUGUUUUACUUCCUCUAUAAGGUUCUCCUCUUCCUUAGAUUUAUUCAUGUCUCUAUUUCCUCUUAAUAAAAGCCUUUAUGUUAAGGUGGUCAGUUAAAACAGCAAUAAUCAAUAAUGUGAAACUUAUAUUUCUGGUCAAGAUAGAUUAUCAGGAACUAGAUUUAUCUCCAAACAAAAACAAUUUAUAAAGUACACAAAAUGUAUAAAAAAUGGCUUUCAAAUUAUUGGACAUUAAGCAACAAAGGACAGUAGUUUAUAAGAUAUGGAAAAAAUGAGAGAAACUUUAUAAUUUCCAUCGCUUAAUGGCUCUGAUGCAUAUAAUUUGCAUUAAAGGGUGGAGAACUUAGGCAAGUUCAUUAUACUCAGUGAGGCAAGAAGAUGGAGCCAGCAUUCUGUGGAAGCAAGGGUGGUGAGAGUUAACAGGAUAAAGUGCCAGAGAGAAGAAAACUACACAGGCAUAAUGCCAGAGAUCCCUACAGGGUCCUCUUCAAGUAUUUAGUUAAGUACCAAUCAGCACGUAAAACUACCCAAGGUCAGAGAAAGAACCCUCUGAAAAAUUAGAAAGAACGACCAGCUCUUAACAAAAUGCAGGAAUAGAACCUGUUUUCAACAAUCAGAGUAGAGGCCUCAUAAUUCACAAGAAAUCAGUUAGACUACUAAAAAUAUCUUGCCUUAGUAGUAGAAAAAUUUAAACCUUGAAUAAAAGCUACUCUCCCCCUCCACACAAAUCUUAAAAGCAAAACCCAGAAAUGUGUUAAAUAAUAUUUUCUGGAAUACAAAAAAUAUUCAGCAUUCCAAACAGGCAAAACUCACAAGGACUUGCCUCCAAUAAAAAAUUACCAGAAAUGGCCUGUAAUCCCAGCACUUUGGGAGGCAGAGGCGGACAGAUCAAGAGGUCAGGAGAUCGAGACCAUCCUGGCUAACACGGUGAAACCCCGUCUCUACUAAAAAUACAAAAAAAGAAAAAAGAAAUUAGCUGGGCAUGGUGGUGGGUGCCUGUAGUCCCAGUUACUUGGGAGGCUGAGGCAGGAGAACGGCGUGAACCUGGGAGGCGGAGCUUGCAGUGAGCCGAGAUCGCACCACUGCACUCUAGCCUGGACGACAGUGACAGACUACGUCAAAAAAAAAAAAAAAAAAAAAAAAAAAAAUACUAGAAGUGCAAAAAAGCAGUAAAUUAUGGCUCACAAUAAGAAGAAAUGUCAGUGGAAAGGUAACCAAAAAUGACACAGAUUAUAGAAUUAGUAGACAAUGAAAUUAAAACAGUUAAACAACUGUAUCCCACAUGUUCUUAAGCUAGAGAAAAGACUGAACAUGAUAUAAGUAGAGACACAGAAAAUAGGCUGGGCACGGUGGCUCAUGCCUGUAAUCCCAGCACUUUGGGAGGCCGAGGCAGGUGGAUCAUUUGAGGUCAGGCGUUUGAGACCAGCCUGACCAAUAUGAUGAAACCCCAUCUCUACUAAAAAAUACAAAAAUUAGCCAGACGUGGUGGUGUGUGCCUGUAGCCCCAUCUACUGGGAAGGCUAAGACAGGAGAAUCGCUUGAACCCAGGAGGCAGAGCUUGCAGUGAGCCGAGAUAGUGCCACUGCACUCCAGCCUGGGCAACAGAGCGAGACUAGGUCUCAAAAAAUAAAAAACAAAAGAGACAUAGAAAAUACAUUGAAGAAACAAAUCAAACUUCCAGGAAUAGAAAUUACAAUGUUGGAGAUACAAUAUACUAGAUGGAAUUAAUGGCAGAUUAGACAUUGCAGAAAAAAUAUAACCUUUGAAUAUGAAGGCUUAACAAUGGAAACUUUCCAAAAUAAAACACACAGAGAAACAAGAAUAAGGAAAAAUAACCAGGGAAACAAUAAGCAGUUGGACAACUUAAAGCAGUCUAACAUGCUUUUAGUUGGAAUUCUUGAAAGAGAAGAGAUGGGAAAACAAACAUAAAAUUGUAUGUGUGUUUGUAUGUAUGUGUAUGUGUGUGUGUGUGACACAGUGGCAGAAAAUUUUGCAAAUUUGAUGAAAGUUAUAAAGUUAUAGAUCCAAGAAGCUCAAUGAACCCUAAGCAUAAGAAAAAUGAAGAUAACUAUAGCAAGGAACAUCAUAAUUAUAUCAUAUUUUUUAAAAAUAAUGAUAUAAUUUUUAGGUAAUCAAAGGAAAAAAUAAACAGUUUGUAUAAAGAAAAACAGAAAGAUGGCAAAUUUUUCAUUGAAAACAUUGCAAGUAAGGAGACAGUUAAUCAAUUUAAGUCAAAAAUGAGGGAAAGAAGUCUUCUGUCAAUAGCUCUAUUUAACAUACACUGAAGGUUCUAUUUGGCACAUUCAGUUAAGAAAAAGCAGUAACACAUAUCCAGGUAAGACAAGAAGUAAAACUGUCUUUAUUUGCAGAUAACAUGACCGUCCAUAGAAAAAAAUGUGAUUUAAUCUACAAAAAGGCUACUAGAACAAAUCAGUGAGUUUGACAAUGUUGUAAGACGUAAGAUUAUUAUGUAAAAAAAUUUCUACUUCUAUAAACUAGUAAAGAACAAUUGAAAAUUGUAAUUAUAAACUGUUAUUUACAAUAGCACCACAAAUAAGAAAUACUUAGGAUAAAUCUAGCAAAAGAUGUGGUUGACCUAUAAGCAGAAAACCAUAAAAAUUUGCUGAGAGAAAUUAUAUUACUUAAAUAAAAGGAUAAUACAUAUUGUUCAUGGAUAGCAAGACUUGAUACUCUUGCAAUGCUAAUUUUCUCCUAAUUGAACUACAAAGCCAAUGUAAUCCCAAUCAAAAUCAGAGUGGAUUCUUUUGUAGAAACUGACAAGCUAAUUCUAUAAUUCAUAUAGAAAUGCAAAGAAUAUAGACUAGAUUGCACAACUUUUAAAAAGAACAAAAUUAAAUAACUUAUACUACAAGACUUUAAAACUUACCAUAAAAUUAAUGUAAUCAAGGUAAUAUAUUAACAUUAAGAUACUUUGAUUAAGGGAAGAGAAUGGAGUUGAGAAACAGAUUUAUACAUAUAUGAUUAAUUGGGUUUUGAUAAGGUUACAGAGAUAAUUCUGUCAAAAAAAGUAAUGUUUUCAACAAAUGGUAAUGAAAAAUGUGGAUACCCAUAUGCAUAAUUCUAUGCUUCAUAUCAUAUACACAAAUAUAUGUUAUAAACCUAAAUGUAUAACCU